CCUACGGGAGGCAGCAGUGGGGAAUAUUGCACAAUGGGGGAAACCCUGAUCCAGCGACGCCGCGUGAAGGAAGAAGUAUUUCGGUAUGUAAACUUCUAUUAGUAGAGAAGAAAAUGACGGUACCUGACUAAGAAUCCCCGUCCAAUUACGUGCCAGCAGCCCUGGCAAUACGGAGGGGGCCAGCGUUAUCCGGAUUUACUGGGUGUAAGGGGAGCGUAGGCGGUUCAGCAAGUCAGAAGUGAAAGCCCGGGGCUCAACUCCGGGACUGCAUUUGAAACUGGAAGACUAGAUUGCAGGAGAGGUAAGUGGAAUUCGUGGUGUAGCGGUGAAAUGCGUAGAUAUUAGGAGGAACCCCAAUGGCGAAGGCAGCUUACUGGACUGUAAAUGACGCUGAGGCUCGAAAGCGUGGGGAGCAAACAGGAUUAGAUACCCCAGUAGUC
rnacentral:rRNA from 1 species